UCAGAGCUAAGGGGUGGUUGGGAGGGGAAAGGCAGGUAAGACUUGAGGAAGACUGCUCGUAGUCCUUAGAUCCACUAUUUGAUUAUCGUUACAAAUGGUGUACAGAAUGUAACCAUUAAUUGGAUAAAAAAGGGAAAUGAACUUUGUUUGAUGACAACAGAUCUAAGAGGACGGAAAUAAUUUAGUUAAAACUCCAGUGAUAUGAGCACUUCAGCCAUCAAUCAGAAGUUUACAAAUGGAAUACAAACUCCAAAAUCAAUCAAUCAUCAAGAU